CCCGCUACAGAAACUUAAAGUGAAGUUGACGGGGGCCCGCGACAAGCGGUGGAGCAUGUGGUUUAAUUCGAAGCAACGCGAAGAACCUUACCAGGCCUUGACAUGCAGAGAACUUUCCAGAGAUGGAUUGGUGCCUUCGGGAACUCUGACACAGGUGCUGCAUGGCUGUCGUCAGGCUCGUGUCGUGAGAUCGUUGGGUUAAGUCCCGCAACGAGCGCAACCCUUGCCUUUAGUUGCCAGCAGUUCGGCUGGGCACUCUAAAGGGACUGCCGGUGUUAAACCGGAGGAAGGUGGGGAUGACGUCAAGUCCUCAUGGCCUUUAUGACCAGGGCUACACACGUACUACAAUGGUCGGUACAAAGGGUUGCCAAGCCGCGAGGUGGAGCUAAUCCCAUAAAACCGAUCGUAGUCCGGAUCGCAGUCUGCAACUCGACUGCGUGAAGUCGGAAUCGCUAGUAAUCGUGAAUCAGAAUGUCACGGUGAAUACGUUCCCGGGCCUU
rnacentral:rRNA from 1 species